AGCGCAGGCGGUUUCUUAAGUCUGAUGUGAAAGCCUUCGGCUUAACCGGAGAAGAGCAUCGGAAACUGGGAGACUUGAGUGCAGAAAAGGACAGUGGAACUCCAUGUGUAGCGGUGAAAUGCGUAGAUAUAUGGAAGAACACCAGUGGCGAAGGCGGCUGUCUGGUCUGUAACUGACGCUGAGGCUCGAAAAACAUGGGUAGCAACA
rnacentral:rRNA from 1 species